UAAUACGAAUGGAGCGAGCGUUGUUCGGAAUCACUGGGCGUAAAGGGUGCGCAGGCGGUUAUGAAAGUCAGAAGUGAAAUCCCAGGGCUUAACCCUGGAAUUGCUUUUGAAACUCCAUGACUUGAGUAUUGGAGAGGUUAGCGGAAUUCCGAGUGUAGCAGUGAAAUGCGUAGAUAUUCGGAGGAACACCAAUGGCGUAGGCAGCUAACUGGACAAUUACUGACGCUCAUGCACGAAAGCGUGGGGAUCAAACAGG
rnacentral:rRNA from 1 species